UUUUACAUUAAAUAAUAAGUGAAUGUAAAAAAUAAUCCGUGAUUCUUUAUUAUUCACACACCAUUCUUAAGAUAAAUUUUGUGUUGAUAAUUUUGGGAAAGAUGAAUAAGUUUCAUCUCAGAUUUACGAGACCCUCAACGCCACUGUCUACAUUCUCAAUGGAUUACUAUGGAGGAGAAGACUUUUGAAGGCUCCGACGUUGACGAAAGCUGGGGGAGGCUUCUCAGAUUCUGAAAUCGACAAUCCUAAGGAAGACGGAACAGGAGUGGUGGCCAGGUGAAUUAACUUGCGGAUUUGACUUUCCAUAACCGUAUCGCAGAAGAUAAUUACAAACAGUUAGAUUGAGAUGUUCAAGACUGCUUCAGAGAACGGCAAUUUAGUGAUGUUGAAUGCGUCACAAUUUGAGAAAAUAUUGGAGAUAGAGUCCCAUACAUUCUCUGUAAUGGUUGUUCAUCAUUUUGUCCCGACAAUUGAUUUGUAGGCAAUGUACUAUUUGCUAAUUUGAAACAUAUGUAGUAUAGUAUUUUUACACGAUUUGAUAAUUUCAAUAAUUGUACUAUACUAUUUUACA